rnacentral:rRNA from 1 species
UACGUAGGGAGCAAGCGUUGUCCGGAUUUACUGGGUGUAAAGGGUGCGUAGGUGGUUUUGUGGGUCAGGCGUGAAAUUUAGAGGCUCAACUUCUGAACUGCGUUUGAAACUAUAAGACUUGAGUUAAGUAGGGGCAGAUGGAAUUCCCGGUGUAGCGGUGAAAUGCGUAGAUAUCGGGAGGAAUACCUGUGGCGAAGGCGAUCUGCUGGGCUUUUACUGACACUGAGGCACGAAAGCGUGGGUAG